GCGUCGGUAGUGCAACGGUUCCAGCACGUACCCCGGAUGGCAUGAAUUGUGGGUUCAAGUCCCAACUGACGCA